GACUAAUCGAACCAUCUAGUAGCUG
rnacentral:ncRNA from 6 species